UCAAUGGAAUUUGGUGAACAUUGGUGUUCCGGAUUUGUUGUCUGCAGACUUGUGAGCGUUCUGAUAAUGCAUUCCCUGUCUCGCCUAUAUAUAAUUCCUCGCAAUUCGGGCAUUUAAUGUAGUAGAUCAAAUUUCUGCUUUUGCAGUUCAUAUCUGCAUUUGCGAAAAUCUGUCCAUUUUUUUGUCUUGACAUUUUCCA